rnacentral:rRNA from 1 species
GACGAACCACACAAACGUUAUUCGGAAUUACUGGGCUUAAAGGGUGCGUAGGCGGCGCGGAAAGUUGGGUGUGAAAUCCCUCGGCUCAACCGAGGAACUGCGCCCAAAACUACCGUGCUCGAGGGAGAUAGAGGUGAGCGGAACUUAGGGUGGAGCGGUGAAAUGCGUUGAUAUCCUAAGGAACACCCGUGGCGAAAGCGGCUCACUGGGUCUCUUCUGACGCUGAGGCACGAAAGCGUGGGGAGCAAACAGG